CGUGAUACAGCUCAGUGGUAUAGCAUCUGACUGGCAAGCAUAAGGUUCUGAGUUCAAUUCCCAGUACGA
rnacentral:tRNA from 1 species